GAACGGCAGCACGGACUUCGGUCUGGUGGCGAGUGGCGAACGGGUGAGUAAUGUAUCGGAACGUGCCUAGUAGCGGGGGAUAACUACGCGAAAGCGUAGCUAAUACCGCAUACGCCCCUUCGGGGAAAGCGGGGGACCUUCGGGCCUCACUUUAAUGGAAAAGCGGCCGAUAUCGGAUUGGCCUAGUUGGUGGGGUAACGGCUCGCAGGCGACGAUCCGUAGCUGGUUUGAAGGACGACCAGCCACACUGGGACUGAGACACGGCCCAGACUCCCGGGAGGCAGCGGUGGGGAAUUUUGGACAAUGGGGAAACCUGAUCCAGCCAUCGCGUGUGCGAUGAAGGCCUUCGGGUUGUAAAGCACUUUUGGCAGGAAAGAAACUGGCACGGGAUAAUACCCCGAUGCAACUGACGACACCUGCAGAAUAGCACCGGCUAACUACGUGCCAGCAGCCGCGGUAAUACGUAGGAUACAAAAGCGUUAAUCGGAUUACUGAAUCAGCGUGCGCAGGCAGGUUCGGAAAGAAAGAUGGCAAAUCCCAGAGCUUAACUUUGGAACUACGUUUUAACUACCGAGCUAGAGUGUGUCAGAGGAGGUAGAUUCCGCGAUGUAGCGGUGAAAUGCGUAGAUAUGGAAGGAACACCGAUGGCAAGGCAGCCUCCUGGAUAAGCACUGACGCUCAUGCACAGCGGCGGGGCAAACAGGAUUAGAUACCCUGGUAGUCCACGCCCUGACGUCAACUAGCUGUUGGGACCUUUAAGACAUGGUAGCGCAGCUAACGCGUGAAGUUGACCGCCUGGGAAGCCGGUCGCAAGAUUAAAACUCAAAGGAAUUGACGGGGACCCGCACAAGCGGUGGAUGAUGUGGAUUAAUUCGAUGCAACGCGAAAAAUGCCCACCUACCCUUGACAUGUCUGGAAUCCCGAAGAGAUUUGGGAGUGCUCGCAAGAGAGAACCGGAGCAUUUCAGGUGCUGCAUGGCUGUCGUCAGCUCGUGUCGUGAGAUGUUGAGUUAGAACCCGCAACGGCGCAACCCUUGUCAUUAGUUGCUACGAAAGGCACUCUAAUGAGACUGCCGAUACAAACCGGAGGAAGGUGGGGAUGACGUCAAGUCCUCGUAAGCCCUUAUGGGCAGGGCUUCACACGUCAUACAAUGGUCGGGACAGAGGUCGCCAACCCGCGAAGGCAAUCCCAGAAACCCGAUCGUAGUCCGGAUCGCAGUCUACCAACUCGACUGCGUGAAGUCAGAAUCGCUAAGUAAUCGCGGAUCAGCAUGUGCAUUCAGACCGAUUCCCAGGUCUUGUACACAUAACCGUCACACCAUGGGGUGGGUUUUACUACCAAGUAAGUUAGCCUAGCCGUAAGGAGGGCGAUUACCGGUGGUUUCAUGACUGGGGUGAAGUCGUAACAAGGUAA
rnacentral:rRNA from 1 species